GGCUACAUUUUCUUCUUGGACGGCCAUGCUCUCAGGUGUCCGUGCCGGAAGUUAUUCGAGGAACCAAGUUCCUUACCCUGUUUGAGAAAAUGUAAAAUUUUCCUCAUUUUUGCACCAAGUUUUGCCUAUAACUCGGUCGGUAUCCAACGGAUCGCCAAUCUUUAACCUGUGGUCGAUAGAUGGCAAAAAUUACUACAUUUUCUUCUUGGACGGCCAUGCUCUCAGGUGUCCGUGCCGGAAGUUAUUCGAGGAACCAAGUUCCUUACCCUGUUUGAGAAAAUGUAAAAUUUUCCUCAUUUUUGCACCAAGUUUUGCCUAUAACUCGGUCGGUAUCCAACGGAUCGCCAAUCUUUAACCUGUGGUCGAUAGAUGGCAAAAAUGGCUACAUUUUCUUCUUGGACGCCCAUGCCCUGAGAUGUCUGUGCCAGAAGUUAUUCGAGGAACCAAGUUCCUUACCCUGUUUGAGAAAAUGUAAAAUUUUCCUCAAUUUUUCUGCACUUCAGCAAAAUUUUUAAAUGUGAUAUAUUUUAUUGCGAAUUUGUUGCAAUGUGUUUUUUUUCACUCAAAUAAUGCUUUAAAUUAAAAAAAUAAUAAAAAAUCAGAAAAAAAUUUCAAAAAAAUUUUCCACCCGAAAAUUUCAUAAGGCUUACCCCUUACGUUUUUUUUGGGAAAUUUUGCAAAAAAAAUGAAAUUGAUUUAUUUUAAUGCCAAUUGGUUGCAAUGUGUUUCUUUUCACUCAAGUAAUGCUUUAAAUAAAAAAAAGUGUGAAAAAUAAUAAAAAAAUCAUAAUAUUCAAAAAAAUGAAAAUUUACUAAGGCUCAUUUUUGCACCAAAUUUUGGCUAUAACUCGGUCGGUAUCUAACGGAUCGCCAAUCUUUAACCUGUGGUCGAUAGAUGGCACCAAUGGCUACAUUUUCUUCUUGGACGGCCAUGCUCUCAGGUGUCCGUGCCGGAAGUUAUUCGAGGAACCAAGUUCCUUACCCUGUUUGAGAAAAUGUAAAAUUUUCGUCAUUUUUGCACCAAGUUUUGCCUAUAACUCGGUCGGUAUCCAACGGAUCGCCAAUCUUUAACCUGUGGUCGAUAGAUGGCAAAAAUGGCUACAUUUUCUUCUUGGACGGCCAUGCCCUCAGAUGUCUGUGCCAGAAGUUAUUCGAGGAACCAAGUUCCUUACCCUGUUUGAGAAAAUGUAAAAUUUUCCUCAUUUUUGCACCAAGUUUUGCCUAUGACUCGGUCGGUAUCCAACGGAUCGCCAAUCUUUAACCUGUGGUCGAUAGAUGGCACCAAUGGCUACAUUUUCUUCUUGGACGGCCAUGCCCUCAGAUGUCUGUGCCAGAAGUUAUUCGAGGAACCAAGUUCCUUACCCUGUUUGAGAAAAUGUAAAAUUUUCCUCAUUUUUGCCGCAAGUUCUGUCUAUAACUCGGUCGGUAUCCAACGGAUCGCCAAUCUUUAACCUUUGGUCGAUAGAUGGCACCAAUGGCUACAUUUUCUUCUUGGACGGCCAUGCUCUCAGGUGUCCGUGCCGGAACUUAUUCGAGGAACCAAGUUCCUUACCCUGUUUGAGAAAAUGUAAAAUUUUCCUCAUUUUUGCACCAAGUUUUGCCUAUAACUCGGUCGGUAUCCAACGGAUCGCCAAUCUUUAACCUGUGGUCGAUAGAUGGCAAAAAUUACUACAUUUUCUUCUUGGACGGCCAUGCUCUCAGGUGUCCGUGCCGGAAGUUAUUCGAGGAACCAAGUUCCUUACCCUGUUUGAGAAAAUGUAAAAUUUUCCUCUUUUUUGCACCAAGUUUUGCCUAUAACUCGGUCGGUAUCCAACGGAUCGCCAAUCUUUAACCUGUGGUGGAUAGAUGGCACCAAUGGCUACAUUUUCUUCUUGGACGGCCAUGCUCUCAGGUGUCCGUGCCGGAAGUUAUUCGAGGAACCAAGUUCCUUACCCUGUUUGAGAAAAUGUAAAAUUUUCCUCAUUUUUGCACCAAGUUUUGCCUAUAACUCGGUCGGUAUCUAACGGAUCGCCAAUCUUUAACCUGUGGUCGAUAGAUGGCACCAAUGGCUACAUUUUCUUCUUGGACGGCCAUGCUCUCAGGUGUCCGUGCCGGAAGUUAUUCGAGGAACCAAGUUCCUUACCCUGUUUGAGAAAAUGUAAAAUUUUCCUCAUUUUUCUGCACUUCAGCAAAAUU